CUCAUUCAUAGGUUUGAUAAUCUUCAGUAAAUCUUUGAAUUGGCUGCACUUAGGACACCACCACUCGCUACACUAUAAUUACCAAGUGAUUUUACUCAAAAAUGACUCAAAAAUCAUAAAAAAUCAAUUUUACGUGAAUGCAUUAUCUUUGUUGCACAUGACCACGUGGGUCUGACAGAUGGGUAAAACAUUACAUCCUACUUAUGUUUUUGAAAUCAUCAUAUUAUAAUACAUAAUUCUUUAUCUCAUCAUCUGAAUCUACUGCUGAAGAUGGAUUUACGGACUGAUGGCUAUUGUUUGGUUUCGUAUUGCUAGUCCCUGCCUUAAGAG